GACGAACGCUGGCGGCGUGCUUAACACAUGCAAGUCGAGCGGUAAGGCCCUUUCGGGGGUACGACGAGCGGCGAACGGGUGAGUAACACGUGGGUGACCUGCCCUCAGCUCUGGGAUAAGCCUGGGAAACCGGGUCUAAUACUGGAUAUGACUCCAUGACGCAUGUUGUGGGGUGGAAAGCCUUGUGCGGCUGGGGAUGGGCCCGCGGCCUAUCAGCUUGUUGGUGGGGUGAUGGCCUACCAAGGCGACGACGGGUAGCCGGCCUGAGAGGGCGACCGGCCACACUGGGACUGAGACACGGCCCAGACUCCCACGGGAGGCAGCAGUGGGGAAUCUUGCGCAAUGGGCGAAAGCCUGACGCAGCGACGCCGCGUGAGGGAUGACGGCCU
rnacentral:rRNA from 1 species